UACACUUCCGCCACAAUUGGAAAAUGGAAGGUGGCUAGUAACUGAAGCAGAUGUUAAACCAGGUGAUAAAAUAGACUUCAACUCAGUAAUAAGAUUAGAAUGUCAUGAAGGUUACCAAUUAUAUCCUGAUAAUAGUUUACAAAUUUGUGAUAGCUACUGGAAUGAAAAAAAUUUGCCAAAGUGCAAAAAAAAAUGUCCACCAUUUUAUUCAACGGCAACUACCACGUUAACAUGUAAAGAUAUAAAUAACGAAGCAGUCCCUUGUGAUAAAGCCGUUAAUGGUACCUAUUUAACUUAUAAUUGCAACGAUUAUCAUGAAAUACCACCAGGAGGUAGUAAUAUUCUCUACUGUGACGACGGCGUUUGGGACUUUCAAAAACCUAUAUGUCAACCAAUUUGCGGAAAAAAAGUUCAUGCAGUGAAGGGAGAAGCAAUCGCACUAGCUUGGGGAGGCAGAAAAGUUCAUGAUUUUGAAUUUCCAUGGGUUAUAGCGGUGUUUAAGAUCUCAGGAACAGGUUACGAGAAUAUAUGUGGUGGAACGUUACUAAGCAGACGAGUUGUUA
rnacentral:lncRNA from 1 species